rnacentral:rRNA from 1 species
UACAGAGGUCUCAAGCGUUGUUCGGAUUCAUUGGGCGUAAAGGGUGCGUAGGUGGCGCGGUAAGUCGGGUGUGAAAUUUCGGAGCUUAACUCCGAAACUGCAUUCGAUACUGCCGUGCUUGAGGACUGGAGAGGAGACUGGAAUUUACGGUGUAGCAGUGAAAUGCGUAGAGAUCGUAAGGAAGACCAGUGGCGAAGGCGGGUCUCUGGACAGUUCCUGACACUGAGGCACGAAGGCCAGGGGGAGCAAAACGGG